CAUGAGAUAUGGAAGAUGCUCAACAAGUAGGGAUGUGAGGAAAAAAAGACUUAUGAGAGGACAGUGAGCAAAAGAGGAUCCUUCCUGAUGCCAAGGGUGUAUGAUGUUCCAUCACAAAAGGUUCUUAUGAUGCAACCUUCACAGAGAAAGUACCUGAGAGCCUUUUGUGCUUCUGUGGAUUUACUUGCAAUGGAUCUCUUAUGCAAAAUACCUUUCCCUUCUCUGCCACCAAAAGCACACAGGUACUCAGACAAAUGUGCUGGAGGAAUCACUAUGUGAACUAUUGAAGCCAGGGUUUCUCGGUGUAGAUAUGGCUGUCCUGGAACUCACUCUAUAGAUCGAGCUGUCCUUAAAUUCAGAGAUCUACCUGCUUCUGCCCCGUGAGUGUUGUGAUUAAAAAUGUGUGCCACCAUUACCUUGGUUCUUCGUUGGGGAAUUGCUAUUCUCUAUUCUCUGGUGUCUGCUGUUUUAAUGGGCCCAUCCGUCGAGGUGUUCCUUCUCUGUUAGUCAAGGAGCAGCCACGUGAUCCCAGCUAUGACAAUCCAAAUCUAUCAUCCGGGGAUUUAAUUCUCAGUGUUAGGAGCUCCUCCAGGCAAUCAGGAAGAUACAGGCUUUUACUCAACAUGCUAACCAUGGCACGACCUGAUUUCUGAUGGCUAUCAACAUAACUUCGUUCCCUUUUGCUUUUCUACUUGGUCCUCUUCACCAGCUGACCUCAUCAAUUUAUCCAACAACACAUGCUGAGGACCUACUAAGCACGGGGUCUGUGGACAUAAAAUGGAAUUGGACAUGAAAUACACCCUGCAGAGCAGAUGGACACAUAAGCAACAUGGCAAUGAGAAGUGACAAGCACACUACUACAACCCAGCUGGCACAGAUGGUGGAGAUUUGAUAGGCUUGGGGCAUGACAAUCUGGGACUUGUUCAGAUGUGAUGAGCUAUGACAAGUGGUGGCUUGCAUCACAACCCAACAUCAGUGUGUACAGGACAUCUCUUGCGGAGAAAUAUCUACCUUGAUACCCAAAAUUGUAUCAUUUAUUCCAAGCCUGAGGCAAGAGCAGUGGGAAGAAAUCAAGGGAACAUCACAGAAGAUGGGACAGAAGAACUUUAGGAUGCAACAGAUAAAGAGGAUUGCCAUGAAAUAAUGUCUUCUGGAUAUGACAGGUCUGUUGCAAUCAUGAGCGCACAGCUGUUGUGACUACCUUCAUAAGAGAUGGAAGGAGUUGGGGGAGAGAUAAAAGAAGAGAGAGGACUAGUUGGGGACAGGAUUAUGGCAGGAGAGUCAAAGGGGACAACAGAAGUGACUGUGACUUCAGUAAGGUUGAUACAAGUACAAAGUAACCGGCUGGUUCUUUUUAUUCAAGAUCAGAUAUUGACCCUUUUUCCACUGGAAC
rnacentral:lncRNA from 1 species